UAGUGCAUCUUCUAGCAGGAAAUUCAAGAGCAGCAUCUGUACUUCAGUGGAAAGCCAAGCAAUCAGUGAAACCUACGUUAACGUCUAUAGUAGAUGACUGCUCAGACAUUCACUUCAGAAACAGCUGUGCUAACCA